GGUUCGAUGGCGUAGUUGGUUAUCGCAUCUGUCUAACACCCCUGGUUGCACAGAAGGUCCCCGGUUCGAGCCCGGGUCGAAUCA